rnacentral:rRNA from 1 species
GACGAACGCUGGCGGCGUGCUUAACACAUGCAAGUCGAACGGAAAGGCCCUGCUUGCAGGGUACUCGAGUGGCGAACGGGUGAGUAACACGUGGGUGAUCUGCCCUGCACUUCGGGAUAAGCCUGGGAAACUGGGUCUAAUACCGGAUAGGAGCCAUUUUUAGUGUGAUGGUUGGAAAGUUUUUUCGGUGUAGGAUGAGCUCGCGGCCUAUCAGCUUGUUGGUGGGGUAAUGGCCUACCAAGGCGGCGACGGGUAGCCGGCCUGAGAGGGUGGACGGCCAGGGUGGGCGUGGAAUGCAGGCGGUAGGAGGACGGGAGGGAGGAGUGGGGAACAGUGGCGACGGGGAGCAAGGCUGAUGCAGCGAGGCGAGGGGGGGGCUGACGGGUUUGGGGUUGUAUAUGCCGUUCGAGAGUGUGAAAUCUUUUAGUGCCGGUACCUAGUAAAGAAGCACCGGACGACGCAGUGCGAGCGGCCGCUGAAACCGGCGGAAGGGCCAGCUUCUGAAC